rnacentral:rRNA from 1 species
GACGAACGCUGGCGGCGUGCUUAACACAUGCAAGUCGAACGGAAAGGCCCUGCUUUUGUGGGGUGCUCGAGUGGCGAACGGGUGAGUAACACGUGAGUAACCUGCCCUUGACUUUGGGAUAACUUCAGGAAACUGGGGCUAAUACCGGAUAGGAGCUCCUGCUGCAUGGUGGGGGUUGGAAAGUUUCGGCGGUUGGGGAUGGACUCGCGGCUUAUCAGCUUGUUGGUGGGGUAGUGGCUUACCAAGGCUUUGACGGGUAGCCGGCCUGAGAGGGUGACCGGCAACAGUGGGACUGAGAUACGGCCCAGACUCCUACGGGAGGCAGCAGUGGGGAAUAUUGCACAAUGGGCGGAAGCCUGAUGCAGCAACGCCGCGUGCGGGAUGACGGCCUUCGGGUUGUAAACCGCUUUCGCCUGUGACGAAGCGUGAGUGACGGUAAUGGGUAAAGAAGCACCGGCUAACUACGU